GGGCUGUCUCUGUGGCUGGUUCUGCGGCGUGCGGCCAGCCAUGGAGCGCUCUGGGCCCAGCGAAGUGACAGGCUCAGACGCAUCGGGACCGGACCCGCAGCUUGCGGUCACCAUGGGCUUCACGGGGUUCGGUAAAAAAGCUCGCACAUUUGACUUGGAAGCAAUGUUUGAACAAACUCGAAGAACAGCUGUGGAAAGAAGUUGCAAAACACUGGUGUUCUUCCAGACUUGGCAAUUAGAUUACAUUUAGACUGUGGAAUUAAAAGUGAUUCCCUGUGAGCUCUCCUAGCAAAUUAUGAAAUUGAAGAGAGAGAGAACGGGUUGCGGGAACCCUAGUUUCCUACCGCCACCAGGAACACACCUGUAGCCCAGCAAAGUUGAGGCCAUCAACUGGCUCAUCACAACAAGGAAGGCUGUGCACCACUGGGACCCAGCAGCAGCUCAGCAGCAGCAGUGAAAGGGCCUUGGGAAAGACUCGGAGGGUUUGGCUUAUACAAGGCCAGAUUACAGAGGGGUAUUGAUUUGCCUUGCCCCCGCCCCCACCAUCACAGUGUGUCCCUGUCCAGUGUUGGUGCUGUGUGGCAUUGGCUUGUGUCCAUAGGAGUCCAUCAAGGCAGAGCGGCAGAGUGGGAAGGCAGGUCAGCUUCCAGCUCUUCCAGGCUGCAUGUCCCACUCAAUAUCCUUUCAACCCAAUGGAAAUGGAUUGAAAGAGUGAAAGUCACUGGUCUCAAAGAAUCUACGGAAUUUAGCAUUUUGAAAAUCACAUAGCAAUUUUGGGUAGGUAUUCACCUGCACUAAAAAACCAGGCAAACAUCCGACUCCCAGGAUAAAGUGACUGAGAGCAGUAGAAGACUUGUUGAGCCUUAAGGAAUAAGAGGAAAAUUACGUUAUGAAGUGCAGGAACAGCACAGACCCAGACGAGGGGACGCAGCCCGGAGCCAGUAACCCGGCGCCACCUCCUCCCCAGGGCGCAGCGCUGGCUGAUCCCCAGAUACCGUGAUCACACGUCCCGGGUCCUGAGAGCGCCUCAUAGGUAGACAGUUCUUUGGGACUUCUGGGAUGCAGCACUUGAAGAGAGGUUUACCUAAACUUUCCUCCUGGGAGCCUGUGAUCAUUUGAAAGUAACAGAAGAAAGUUGUCAGGCUGAGGAAAGUUUCAACAGGCACUUGGUGAGAAUGGGAAGCAUCCAUUCAUUGUGAAAUCGCGGGGACAGAGGAGGAAUUCACGGGAUCAGAGCACUGAGAAACUCCAGAGGCUUCUGGUUCACCGCCCUGAUUCCACAGAUGUGGGUCAGAGGCAGAGAUGGAAGUUGGAAUGGACAAGCCUGCCCUCUCCUUGGCUCUCCAUGGCUCUGUCCUCAGGCUGUUUCUGCAAUUUGACAUGAGGCCUGGCCCCAGGGAAACCAGUGGGGCCUCAUCUCCUCCCUGUGCUGCUCUGAGGUGGAGCCUUCUCAGGGUCAGUCCAGCUCUGGAGCCCCUCUCCAGCUCGGUCACCAAAGCUGUCUGGUCCCAGGGCGGUGCUGAGUGACAGGCAUGCCAGCCAAUCCAAUCGGCAAUUUCAUAUCCAAUGCAUGUGACUGAUAAAGAGAUAACGCCCUGUCUCCAAGACACAGGCUUUACAUAAACAGCUUUAAUGACUUCUUCACUUAGAGACAAGACUCCUUAGUGGUGGAACCUCAGGCAUCCGUGCAGGACGUAAGAAAGCUGCCGUAUAUACAUGAACUGAGAAGUGUGUAGAAGAAUAAAUACUGUAAUAGGUAAUAAAAUGUAUGUAUUUUUAUUUAUGUGCUA
ensembl:lncRNA GUSBP1 GUSB pseudogene 1